rnacentral:tRNA from 1 species
AAUAGUUUAGUAUAAUAUAUUACACAUAAUUUCCAAUUAUGAGAUUUAAUCUCUAAAACUAUUA